rnacentral:rRNA from 1 species
UACGUAGGUGACAAGCGUUGUCCGGAUUUACUGGGCGUAAAGAGCGCGCAGGCGGUCGAUCAAGUCGAGUGUGAAAGCCCCCGGCUCAACUGGGGAGGGUCAUUCGAAACUGGUCGACUCGAAGGCAGGAGAGGGUAGUGGAAUUCCCGGUGUAGUGGUGAAAUGCGUAGAUAUCGGGAGGAACACCAGUGGCGAAGGCGACUACCUGGCCCAUUCUUGACGCUGAGGCGCGAAAGCUAGGGGAGCGAACGGG